AAGUCGUAACAAGGUUUCCGUAGGUGAACCUGCGGAAGGAUCAUUAUUGAUUGGUCGAAAGACCUUAUCAGAUUCUACCACCUCUGUGAACCGUUGACCUCCGGGUUAAUAAUCAAACAUCAGUGUAACGAACGUAAGAGUAUCUUAAUUAAACAAAACUUUUAACAACGGAUCUCUUGGCUCUC
rnacentral:misc_RNA from 2 species